AUUGAACGCUGGCGGCAGGCCUAACACAUGCAAGUCGAGCGAGCGGCGGACGGGUGAGUAAUGUAUGGGGACUGCCCGAUAGCGGGGGAUCACUCCUGGAAACGGUAGCUAAUAACGCAUACUAUCGGAUAACCCAGAUGGGAUUAGCUAGGAGGUGAGGUAAUGGCUCACCUAGGCGACGAUCCCUACCUGGUCUGAGAGGAUGAUCAGCCACACUGGGAAGGAGACACGGCACAGACUCCUACGGAGGCAGCAGUGGGGAAUAUUGGGCAAAGGGCGCAAGCCUGAACCAGCAACGCCGCGUGAAGGAAGACGGUCUUCGGAUUGUAAACUUCUUUAGACAGGGACGCGGUACCUGUAGAAUAAGCCACGGCUAACUACGUGCCAGCAGCCGCGGUAAUAC
rnacentral:rRNA from 1 species